rnacentral:rRNA from 1 species
AUCUUCGGACCUUGCGCUAUUGGAUGUGCCUAUGUCGGAUUAGCUAGUUGGUGGGGUAAAGGCCUACCAAGGCGACGAUCCGUAGCUGGUCUGAGAGGAUGAUCAGCCACAUCGGGACUGAGACACGGCCCGAACUCCUACGGGAGGCAGCAGUGGGGAAUAUUGGACAAUGGGGGCAACCCUGAUCCAGCCAUGCCGCGUGUGUGAAGAAGGCUUUCGGGUUGUAAAGCACUUUCAGUGAGGAGGAAGGCCUUAAGGUUAAUACCCUUGAGGAUUGACGUUACUCACAGAAGAAGCACCGGCUAACUCCGUGCCAGCAGCCGCGGUAAUACGGAGGGUGCAAGCGUUAAUCGGAAUUACUGGGCGUAAAGCGCGCGUAGGUGGUUUGUUAAGCGAGAUGUGAAAGCCCCGGGCUCAACCUGGGAACGGCAUUUCGAACUGGCAGGCUAGAGUGUGGUAGAGGGGUGUGGAAUUUCCUGUGUAGCGGUGAAAUGCGUAGAUAUAGNGAANGGAACACCAGNUGGCGAAGGCGGCACUCUGGACCAACACUGACACUGAGGUGCGAAAGCGUGGGGAGCAAACANGGAUUAGAUACCCUGGUAGUCCACGCUGUAAACGAUGUCAACUAGCCGUUGGGACUCUUGAAGUCUUAGUGGCGCAGCUAACGCACUAAGUUGACCGCCUGGGGAGUACGGCCGCANAGGUUAAAACUCAAAUGAAUUGACGGGGGCCCGCACAAGCGGUGGAGCAUGUGGUUUAAUUCGACGCAACGCGAAGAACCUUACCUGGCCUUGACAUGCUGAGAACUUUCCAGAGAUGGAUUGGUGCCUUCGGGAGCUCAGACACAGGUGCUGCAUGGCCGUCGUCAGCUCGUGUCGUGAGAUGUUGGGUUAAGUCCCGUAACGAGCGCAACCCCUAUCCCUAGUUGCUAGCAGUUCGGCUGAGAACUCUAGGGAGACUGCCGGUGACAAACCGGAGGAAGGUGGGGAUGACGUCAGGUCAUCAUGGCCCUUACGGCCAGGGCUACACACGUGCUACAAUGGUGCGUACAGAGGGUCGCAAACCCGCGAGGGGGAGCCAAUCUCACAAAACGCAUCGUAGUCCGGAUCGCGGUCUGCAACUCGACUGCGUGAAGUCGGAAUCGCUAGUAAUCGCGAAUCAGAAUGUCGCGGUGAAUACGUUCCCGGGCCUUGUACACAC